rnacentral:rRNA from 1 species
GGGUUGUGAGGUUAAGCGACUAAGCGUACACGGUGGAUGCCCUGGCAGUCAGAGGCGAUGAAGGGCGUGCUAAUCUGCGAUAAGCGCCGGUAAGGUGAUAUGAACCGUUAUAACCGGCGAUACCCGAAUGGGGAAACCCAGUGUGAUUCGUCACACUAUCAUUAACUGAAUCCAUAGGUUAAUGAGGCGAACCGGGGGAACUGAAACAUCUAAGUACCCCGAGGAAAAGAAAUCAACCGAGAUUCCCCCAGUAGCGGCGAGCGAACGGGGAGGAGCCCAGAGCCUGAAUCAGCAUGUGUGUUAGUGGAAGCGUCUGGAAAGGCGCGCGAUACAGGGUGACAGCCCCGUACACAAAAGCGCAUGUGCUGUGAGCUCGAUGAGUAGGGCGGGACACGUGGUAUCCUGUCUGAAUAUGGGGGGACCAUCCUCCAAGGCUAAAUACUCCUGACUGACCGAUAGUGAACCAGUACCGUGAGGGAAAGGCGAAAAGAACCCCGGGAGGGGAGUGAAAAAGAACCUGAAACCGUGUACGUACAAGCAGUGGGAGCCCCACCACCAAAGCAUUCUCUGGUGUUGAAGGCCCUGCAAAGCAGCAUCGCGGUGGCGGAGCGUCGUUUGCGACGCCCAACACACAAAACAAGCGGUGAAUGCUUUGGGGUGGGGUGACUGCGUACC